rnacentral:ncRNA from 2 species
CUCCCACCUUAGGGGUGGUCUUCGGACCUGAGAUGCAGGCAACUGCGAACCCUGGAACCUGAUCCGGAUCAUACCGGCGUAGGGAAAGGCCUCUAGACGUCU